GAUGAACGCUAGCUACAGGCUUAACACAUGCAAGUCGAGGGGUAGCAGGGUAGCAAUACCGCUGACGACCGGCGCACGGGUGAGUAACACGUAUCCAACCUUCCCAUCACUCGGGGAUAGCCUUUCGAAAGAAAGAUUAAUACCCGAUAGUACUUUUUUGAGGCAUCUUGAGAAAGUUAAAGAUUUAUUGGUGAUGGAUGGGGAUGCGUUCCAUUAGAUUGUUGGUGAGGUAACGGCUCACCAAGUCUUCGAUGGAUAGGGGUUCUGAGAGGAAGGUCCCCCACAUUGGUACUGAGACACGGACCAAACUCCUACGGGAGGCAGCAGUGAGGAAUAUUGGUCAAUGGGCAGAGCCUGAACCAGCCAAGUAGCGUGAAGGAUGAAGGUCCUAUGGAUUGUAAACUUCUUUUAUAGUAGAAUAAAGUGAUCCACGUGUGGAUUUUUGUAUGUAUACUAUGAAUAAGGAUCGGCUAACUCCGUGCCAGCAGCCGCGGUAAUGAGUAGUA
rnacentral:rRNA from 1 species